ACCAAAGACCGGGGGCUGCAAAGACAUUUAUUUCUCACCGUUCUGGGGAUUGGAAGCCUGAGAUCAACGUGUUGGCAGGUUUUCUUUCUUUCUUUCUUUCUUUCUUUCUUUCUUUCUUUCUUUCUUUCUUUCUUUCUUUCUUUCUUUCUUUCUUUCUUCCUUCCUUCUUUCUUCUUUCUUUCUUUAUUUCUUCUUUCUUUUUCUUUCUUCUGAAGGUAGAUGACGGCCUUCUCGAUAUCGCCUUUCUCUGUCUGCGCAUCCCUGGUGUCUCUCUGUGUCCAGGAUUCCUCUUCUUAAAAGGACACCAGUCAGGUUAGGGGUGUCUUGGUGGCUCAGUCGGUUAAGCAUCUGCAUUUGGCUCAGGUCAUGAUCCCGGGGUCCUGCGAUCGAGCCCGGCAUUGGGCUCCCUGCUCAGCAAGGAGUCUGCUUCUCCCUCUCCCUCUGCUCCUCCCCCUGCUCCUGUGCGCGCGCUCUCUCUCUCUCUCUAAUAAAUAAAUAAAAUCUUAAAAAAAAAAAAAAAAGAGGACAGCAGUCAGGUUCGAUUAGGCUCCACUCUAACAACCUCGUUUUAAUUUCACCACCUCUUUAGAGACCCAAUCUCCAGAUUCACUCACAUUCUGAGGAACAGGGGUUAGAGCUUCAACCUAUGGGUUUUGGAAGGACACCAACAGGCCUGAACCCCAGAAGGAAGCACCUCUGGGGACUCCGAGGAGCCCACAUCUGCCCGUCCGGGGGCACCUUCAUUGACACCAACAUGCCUGCCCUUGCUUCUAAGGGGGCUGCUACCACUGAGAUCUGCUCGGGGGGCCUGUGCAGUGCCCUCCAUCCAAAGUGGCUCCCUUAACCUCCCAUCCCAUCAUCCUGUCUUAUCAUCAUAGGGCCCAAUACUCCCCGACAUCUCCCUUACUCGUGUUCUAAAGUCACUUCAUUGACUCCCUCUUUCCAAAUGAGAGCAUGAACUUGCCCUGGAUACGGAGAAAGUGUUCAAUAAAUAUUUGUUGAAUGAUUAAAUAAGUGCA
rnacentral:lncRNA from 12 species